rnacentral:rRNA from 1 species
GACGAACGCUGGCGGCGUGCCUAAUACAUGCAAGUCGAACGAACCGCGACUAAGUGCUUGCACUAAGUCAAGGUGAGUGGCGAACGGGUGAGUAACACGUGGGUAACCUACCUCAUAGUGGGGGAUAACAGUCGGAAACGACUGCUAAUACCGCAUAGGACAUAGGAUCACAUGAUCCAGUGAGGAAAGGUGGCGCAAGCUAUCGCUAAGAGAUGGACCCGCGGUGCAUUAGCUAGUUGGUAGGGUAAAGGCCUACCAAGGCGAUGAUGCAUAGCCGACCUGAGAGGGUGAUCGGCCACAUUGGGACUGAGACACGGCCCAAACUCCUACGGGAGGCAGCAGUAGGGAAUCUUCCGCAAUGGACGCAAGUCUGACGGAGCAACGCCGCGUGAGUGAAGAAGGUCUUCGGGUCGUAAAGCUCUGUUGUUAGAGAAGAACAGCGCAUAGAGUAACUGCUAUGCGUGUGACGGUAUCUAACCAGAAAGCCACGGCUAACUACGUG